rnacentral:rRNA from 1 species
CACUCCUACGGGAGGCAGCAGUGGGGAAUUUUGGACAAUGGGCGAAAGCCUGAUCCAGCAAUGCCGCGUGUGUGAAGAAGGCCUUCGGGUUGUAAAGCACUUUUGUCCGGAAAGAAAUCCUUGGCUCUAAUACAGUCGGGGGAUGACGGUACCGGAAGAAUAAGCACCGGCUAACUACGUGCCAGCAGCCGCGGUAAUACGUAGGGUGCGAGCGUUAAUCGGAAUUACUGGGCGUAAAGCGUGCGCAGGCGGUUUGCUAAGACCGAUGUGAAAUCCCCGGGCUCAACCUGGGAACUGCAUUGGUGACUGGCAGGCUAGAGUAUGGCAGAGGGGGGUAGAAUUCCACGUGUAGCAGUGAAAUGCGUAGAGAUGUGGAGGAAUACCGAUGGCGAAGGCAGCCCCCUGGGCCAAUACUGACGCUCAUGCACGAAAGCGUGGGGAGCAAACAGGAUUAGAUACCCUGGUAGUCCCAUGA